UAGUGGCGAACGGGUGAGUAACGCGUAGGCAACCUGCCCUCCGGCCGGGGACAACACUCCGAAAGGGGUGCGUAAUACCGGAUACGAAGUCUGUGCCGCAUGGUACGGAUUUGAAAGAUGGCCUCUGUUUACAAGCUAUCGCCGGGGGAUGGGCCUGCGUCCGAUUAGCUGGUUGGUGGGGUAACGGCCUACCAAGGCGACGAUCGGUAGCCGGUCUGAGAGGAUGAACGGCCACAUUGGGACUGAGACAACGGCCCAGACUCCUACGGGAGGCAGCAGUGGGGAAUCUUCCGCAAUGGGCGCAAGCCUGACGGAGCAACGCCGCGUGAGUUGAGGAAGUUCUUCGGAACGUAAAGCUCUGUUGUUCCUGACGAACCUCCCUUCUAUCAACAACGGAAGGGACUGACGGUAGGGAACGAGGAAGCCACGGCUAACUACGUGCCAGCAGCUGC
rnacentral:rRNA from 1 species